UUCGAGAGCUCCAGGAGGAGGAGCUGCCCGGGAAAGGGAAGCAGUGCUGAGAUGCAGAGAAAUGUGGAGGGCAGGGGCUCCGGACCUCGACGAACUGGCCCCUCUCCUCCAGGGACAAGCCUGGCCACAGGAAAUAAAGGUGUCUUCAAAGGGACAGACCAGAGGACAAGCAUAUAAGACACAAACACAGGCACAGCGCAGGGGGCAUCUUGGAGCUGGAGGUGUGGAACACUGGAUGGGCGUGCUGAGCGCGCUUGUCAGCACUGUGCUUAGUAACCAAACGUGGGAAGGGACCCAAAUGCCCAUGGGCCGUGGAACAGAUGCAUGGACAGCACUCUCCUACCGGUGCAGUGCAGUGAUAGCAUGGCCAUGAAUAAUCUACAACCACACACGACACGGAUGACUGUCACGCGUGAUUUUGAGGUUUUCGGCUCCUAUGGCCAGAGGAUGGAGACAGAAGCCAUCCCAGAUAUGCUGUGACCUUGGGUACCUUUCUUCAUCUUUCAGAGCCUUCAUCUCAACCAACGACUGAGCACCUACUGUAUGCCAUGUACCCUGCCAGAUGCGGGGACUAGAGCUGGCAGCAAGAUCUGCUCUCCCUCCUUAAGGAUCCUGUAGCAGAAUGGGAAACAAGUAUGAUAAAGGAAUGCUUGCUAACCACUGCAGCUGGGGAGCCCAGCAUAGGAUCUGCUCAUAGUAGGUCCUGCAUAAAUGUUUCUGAAAAAGCAAAUAAAUGCAUGUAUAAAAGUG